rnacentral:rRNA from 1 species
ACAUCCAGAGAACUUAGCAGAGAUGCUUUUGGUGCCUUCGGGAACUCUGAGACAGGUGCUGCAUGGCUGUCGUCAGCUCGUGUUGUGAAAUGUUGGGUUAAGUCCCGNAACGAGCGCAACCCUUAUCCUUUGUUGCCAGCGGUUCGGCCGGGAACUCAAAGGAGACUGCCGGUGAUAAACCGGAGGAAGGUGGGGAUGACGUCAAGUCAUCAUGGCCCUUACGGCCAGGGCUACACACGUGCUACAAUGGCGCAUACAAAGAGAAGCGACCUCGCGAGAGCAAGCGGACCUCAUAAAGUGCGUCGUAGUCCGGAUUGGAGUCUGCAACUCGACUCCAUGAAGUCGGAAUCGCUAGUAAUCGUAGAUCAGAAUGCUACGGUGAAUACGUUCCCGGGCCUUGUACACACCGCCCGUCACACCAUGGGAGUGGGUUGCAAAAGAAGUAGGUAGCUUAACCUUCGGGAGGGCGCUUACCACUUUGUGAUUCAUGACUGGGGUGAAGUCGUAACAAGGUAGGCGUAGCGAG